AACUUGAGUGCAGAAGAGGAGAGUGGAAUUCCACGUGUAGCGGUGAAAUGCGUAGAGAUGUGGAGGACACCAGUGGCGAAGGCGACUCUCUGGUCUGUAACUGACGCUGAGGAGCGAAAGCGUGGGGAGCGAACAGGAUUAGAUACCCUGGUAGUCACGCCGUAAACGAUGAGUGCUAAGUGUUAGGGGGUUUCCGCCCCUUAGUGCUGCAGCUAACGCAUUAAGCACUCCGCCUGGGGAGUACGGUCGCAAGACUGAAACUCAAAGGAAUUGACGGGGGCCCGCACAAGCGGUGGAGCAUGUGGUUUAAUUCGAAGCAACGCGAAGAACCUUACCAGGUCUUGACAUCCUCUGACAAUCCUAGAGAUAGGACGUCCCCUUCGGGGGCAGAGUGACAGGUGGUGCAUGGUUGUCGUCAGCUCGUGUCGUGAGAUGUUGGGUUAAGUCCCGCAACGAGCGCAACCCUUGAUCUUAGUUGCCAGCAUUCAGUUGGGCACUCUAAGGUGACUGCCGGUGACAAACCGGAGGAAGGUGGGGAUGACGUCAAAUCAUCAUGCCCCUUAUGACCUGGGCUACACACGUGCUACAAUGGACAGAACAAAGGGCAGCGAAACCGCGAGCUCAAGCUGAUCGUAAAGAUCUGUUAUAUCCCCAGAGCGAACUCUGCAACUGCGUUUCGUUAAGAUGACUUCGCUAGUAAUAGUGUGUCAAGAUGCCGCGGUGGAUACGUUCCCGGGCCGUGUACACACCGCCAGUCACACUGCGUGAGUAUGUAGCACGCGAAACCGAUGAGGCGACCUUUUAGGAGCCAGCCAUCGCAGGU
rnacentral:rRNA from 1 species